UGAGUAACCUGCCCUUAACUCUGGGAUAAGCCUGGGAAACUGGGUCUAAUACCGGAUAUGACUCCUCAUCGCAUGGUGGGGGGUGGAAAGCUUUAUUGUGGUUUUGGAUGGACUCGCGGCCUAUCAGCUCGUUGGUGAGGUAAUGGCUCACCAAGGCGACGACGGGUAGCCGGCCUGAGAGGGUGACCGGCCACACUGGGACUGAGACACGGCCCAGACUCCGUACGGGGAGCAG
rnacentral:rRNA from 1 species